rnacentral:rRNA from 1 species
ACGGAAGGCAGCAGUGGGGAAUAUUGGGCAAUGGGCGCAAGCCUGACCCAGCAACGCCGCGUGAAGGAAGAAGGCUUUCGGGUUGUAAACUUCUUUUACCAGGGACGAAGGACGUGACGGUACCUGGAGAAAGAGCCACGGCUGACUACGUGCCAGCAGCCGCGGUAAUACGUAGGUGGCAAGCGUUGUCCGGAUUUACUGGGUGUAAAGGGCGUGUAGGCGGAGAUGCAAGUCAGGAGUGAAAUCUAUGGGCUCAACCCAUAAACUGCUUUUGAAACUGCAUCCCUUGAGUAUCGGAGAGGCAGGCGGAAUUCCUAGUGUAGCGGUGAAAUGCGUAGAUAUUAGGAGGAACACCGGUGGCGAAGGCGACUUUCUGGACGAUAACUGACGUUGAUGCACGAAAGUGUGGGGAGCAAACAGGAUUAGAUACCCUGGUA